CAGCAGCCGCGGUAAUACGGAGGGGGCUAGCGUUGUUCGGAAUUACUGGGCGUAAAGCGUACGUAGGCGGCUUUGUAAGUUAGAGGUGAAAGCCUGGAGCUCAACUCCAGAAUUGCCUUUAAGACUGCAUCGCCUGAACGUCGGAGAGGUGAGUGGAAUUCCGAGUGUAGAGGUGAAAUUCGUAGAUAUUCGGAAGAACACCAGUGGCGAAGGCGGCUCACUGGACGACUGUUGACGCUGAGGUACGAAAGCGUGGGGAGCAAACAGGAUUAGAUACCCGCGUAGUCCCUGUCUCUUAUAC
rnacentral:rRNA from 1 species